rnacentral:rRNA from 1 species
GACGAACCGUGCGAACGUUGUUCGGAAUCACUGGGCUUAAAGGGCGCGUAGGCGGACUGCCAAGUCCGGGGUGAAAUCCUCCGGCUUAACCGGAGAAUUGCCUGGGAUACUGGCGGUCUUGAGGGAGGUAGGGGCACGCGGAACUUCCGGUGGAGCGGUGAAAUGCGUUGAUAUCGGAAGGAACGCCGGUGGCGAAAGCGGCGUGCUGGCCCUCUUCUGACGCUGAGGCGCGAAAGCGUGGGGAGCAAACAGG